UACAGAGGGUGCAAGCGUUGUUCGGAAUUAUUGGGCGUAAAGGGUUCGUAGGCGGUGUGGCAAGUCGGGAGUGAAAUCUCUGGGCUCAACCCAGAGCCUGCUUCCGAAACUGCUGUGCUUGAGUGUGGGAGAGGCGCGUGGAAUUGCAGGUGUAGCGGUGAAAUGCGUAGAUAUCUGCAGGAACACCCGUGGCGAAAGCGGCGCGCUGGACCACUACUGACGCUGAGGAACGAAAGCUAGGGGAGCAAACAGG
rnacentral:rRNA from 1 species